UUAGACAGGAAAGGGAAUGCUGGCCUGCUU
rnacentral:piRNA from 1 species